UACGUAGGGUGCAAGCGUUGUCCGGAAUUAUUGGGCGUAAAGAGCUCGUAGGCGGUCUGUCGCGUCGAAUGUGAAAACCCGGGGCUCAACUCCGGGCUUGCAUUCGAUACGGGCAGGCUAGAGUUCGGUAGGGGAGUCUGGAAUUCCUGGUGUAGCAGUGAAAUGCGCAGAUAUCAGGAGGAACACCGGUGGCGAAGGCGGGACUCUGGGCCGAUACUGACGCUGAGGAGCGAAAGCGUGGGGAGCGAACAGG
rnacentral:rRNA from 1 species